rnacentral:sRNA from 1 species
AUCCAGUGUGGUCCAGCAACCUUUCUAAU